GGGGGCGAACUGGGCUCGACAGGGGUUCCAAGAAGCUCAGGUAGCAGGCAGCGUUUGACGGUAACGCAUAAACCGCUCAACUAAAGUAAACGACGACGCAAGUCUCGCACUGGCUGCUUAAUUAAGCAACCCACUCUGGCGGAUCCAGCCUCACGGGCUGCCAAAGAGUGUCAUAAAGAAAGGCUAGCCUCUUCCGCCUCUCCCCUAGCGGAUUGGGCGAAAUAAACAGGGGAACCCCUUCCGAAAAUGCCAGUCCUGUUGCAUCUCGGAAGAAAACAAAAUAGGACUAAGCCUGUAGAAGCUUGUGUUAUCUGAUCUCUGGACGCGGGUUCGACUCCCGCCGCCUCCACCA
rnacentral:tmRNA from 1 species